UCAGCCGCCACACUCUUUAACAAUCUGAAACUUCAUUAAAUUACAUUCCAACUCCAUUCGAUUCAAGCUCGGUAAGUAUCGUAUUAGUUUCGUUCAUUCUACGCUUUAUCGUCAAAUACGGUUUUUGAUUUCGUAUCUCAUUGUUUAGCUAUAAUCUGAAUUUUCUUCAACGAUUCACAUCAACUCAGCGAUCUCUAUAAUCGUUACGCUUCGGAAUCAUAUAUGACGUACGAACGAGCAGUGAGGGCAUUAGACGCGGACUAGUACGAGCAUACCACCACAUCAACUUCAUUAUAGAGUGGAUAGCGGUCACUGUACUUAGUGUUUGGACCUGGCUAGAAGCUAGUUUUGGGAUCCGGAAGUCAGCCACGUAUGUAUAGUUCUUUGACUUCCGUAGUGCUGCAGUAGUGGUCCUGCGUCGACAAAGUCGUAUCCUAGACAGCAGUAUAUUUUGAUUGUGUAUAUUACUCACUGUCUUGUUUAUAUUUUUGUAGGUUACGUGUUUUAUGUUUUAUUCACGGCACUAGAUGUCGGUGAUACGUUUGGUACACUAACUGAUGUAUAUAGUACCGCGAGGCCGGUUCGUACAGAGUACGGAAACUAGGGUCCGCGAGGUUAACAGAACAGUUAGUGUAAAUAUUUAUGUAUAUAUGUUAUAUAUGU